rnacentral:rRNA from 1 species
GAUGAACGCUGGCGGCGUGCCUAAUACAUGCAAGUCGAGCGAACAGACGAGGAGCUUGCUCCUCUGAUGUUAGCGGCGGACGGGUGAGUAACACGUGGAUAACCUACCUAUAAGACUGGGAUAACUUCGGGAAACCGGAGCUAAUACCGGAUAACAUGUUGAACCGCAUGGUUCAACAGUGAAAGACGGUCUUGCUGUCACUUAUAGAUGGAUCCGCGCCGCAUUAGCUAGUUGGUAAGGUAACGGCUUACCAAGGCAACGAUGCGUAGCCGACCUGAGAGGGUGAUCGGCCACACUGGAACUGAGACACGGUCCAGACUCCUACGGGAGGCAGCAGUAGGGAAUCUUCCGCAAUGGGCGAAAGCCUGACGGAGCAACGCCGCGUGAGUGAAGAAGGUCUUCGGAUCGUAAAACUCUGUUAUUAGGGAAGAACAAAUGUGUAAGUAACUAUGCACGUCUUGACGGUACCUAAUCAGAAAGCCGCGGCUAACUACGUG